AAUUAAAGAUGGCGACAGGACGUUCGUGUGGAAGGACGGGUAUAUUGGUUGGACUACUUCAUAAUAGCAAAUUAGAAUAUAGAGUUAUUAAAACCUAUAAUAAUCUCGACUGGGAAUCAUGUCAAAGCAUAUAUCCAGCUGUUUGUGGACUAGGCAUAGGAAUAAUGGUUCUUACUGCAAAGCGCAGCAGCAGGCACGACUUUCCGACUCCAGAGUCACCGAUGAGGAGAAGCUUGAACAGGUCAGUGGAUGGAGUUAAACUGGUCAUUGUUCCCCAUCAGUGAGCGUCCCAGGAGACCGGAGCGAGCUCGGAUAAAUAGCUGCUUUUCACUAUUCACCCUCAUUUUACCACGAUCCCUGGCUCCUGCAUGUGAAUCUGUUUGGAAAACCUGUGUGCAUUUGUGUGUGUGUGUGUGUGUGCGCG